rnacentral:rRNA from 1 species
AAUACGUUCCCGGGCCUUGUACACACCGCCCGUCACACCACGAAAGUCAAUUGGACCAGAAGUCACGGGGUUUUCCUGUGCCGAAGGUCUGAUCGGUGAUUGGGGUG